rnacentral:rRNA from 1 species
AUGGCGGGAGUGGAGUCUCUAAAAAAUGGUUAUAUUUGGAGAGUUGGAAAUGGACAAAAUAUAUAUAUUUGGAGAGAUGUAUGGAUCCCUAAUGGGGCCAAUAGGAAAAUUCACACUCCUAGAAGAGGGCAGCUUCUGACCAAAGUUGCUGAUCUUAUAGAUCCAAUCAACAAUUGUUGGGAUGAAGAUUUGGUAAGACAAACGUUGUGGCCAAUUGAUGUCCAGAGGGUGCUUGUGAUCCCCCUCCCCACGUACAACAUGUCAGAUUUCAUAGCUUGGAGUUUUACAAAGAAUGGACUAUUCACGGUUCGUUCAGCUUAUCUGGAGGAAUGAAAAAAGCAACAUGGGAGGAAAUUGCAACAUUCUAAUGGCAUGGGAGGAAUAAAUGUCAAUACUAUUUGGAGAAACAUUUGGAAAUUAUCUUGUCCAGCAAAAGUGAAGAUUUUUAUUUGGCGUACCCUACACGGAACCCUCCCGUGUCGUGUUACACUUGCUAAUAGACAUAUGAAAGUUUCGCCAUGCCCAUCAUCUUCGAACGGGCCUGAAGAUACUAAACACUUGUUAUUUAUGUGUCAAAAGGCAAAAGAGGUGUGGGAGAAGCUGGGAUUGCACGAAGCCAUUAAAAAAGCUUGUGCGGUCGAUCGUGUAGGAGAGGCAGUACUCGAAUUUUUACUUGUUAUGCCAGAACACGAGCUCUCUACAGUGGGCAUACAGAAUGUUCGCAAACUGAUCGCUAUAACAACCUGGUAUUUAUGGUGGGAAAGACGUUCGCUAGUCCAUCAGGGAAAGACCCAAGGUGCAUACCAAAUUUCGAUGGGAGCACAUGCUAUAACGAUAAACUAUGUUAUUUCCCAAUCCUCCAGGGCAACGAAUAGAAAAGAGGGAUGGACGAGACCCCCUCUAGGUUUUGUAAAAUUAAAUGUCGAUGCUUCGUUCGAUCAAGACAUGCUUAGAGGAACAGCGGGAGCUGUACUUAGAGAUGAUAAAGGAAGAUUUAUUGUGGGAGGGAAUUGGAAGAUGGAUUGGUGCGCAGAUGUUUUAACAGCGGAAGCCAUGGCACUACGUUUUGGCAUAUUACUUGCACAAAAGGGGGGAAGCAACUGA